GUGCUCACUUCAGCAGCACAUACAUUAAAAAAUUAGAAUGAUACAAAGAGGAUUAGCAUGACCCCUGCACAAGUAUGACAUGCAAAUUUGUGAAGCAUUCCAUAUAUUU
ensembl:snRNA U6 U6 spliceosomal RNA